GAUGAACGCUGGCGGCGUGCCUAAUACAUGCAAGUCGAGCGGACCAAAGAGAGCUUGCUCUCUGAGGUUAGCGGCGGACGGGUGAGUAACACGUGGGUAACCUGCCUGUAAGACGGGGAUAACUUCGGGAAACCGAAGCUAAUACCGGAUGAUAGAGAGAAACGCCUGUUUCUUUUUUGAAAGUCGGCCUUGUGCUGACGCUUACAGAUGGGCCCGCGGCGCAUUAGCUAGUUGGUGAGGUAACGGCUCACCAAGGCGACGAUGCGUAGCCGACCUGAGAGGGUGAUCGGCCACACGGGGACUGAGACACGGCCCAGACUCCUACGGGAGGCAGCAGUAGGGAAUCUUCGGCAAUGGACGAAAGUCUGACCGAGCAACGCCGCGUGAGCGAUGAAGGCCUUCGGGUCGUAAAGCUCUGUUGUCAGAGAAGAACAAGUACCGGAGUAACUGCCGGUACCUUGACGGUACCUGACCAGAAAGCCACGGCUAACUACGUGCCAGCAGCCGCCGUAAUAC
rnacentral:rRNA from 1 species